UGGGGAAUAUUGGACUAUGGUCGCAAGCCUGAUCCAGCCAUGCUGCGUGAGUGAUUAAGGCUCUAGGGUUGUAAAGCUCUUUCACCGUUGAAGAUAAUGACGUUAACCGUAGAAGAAGCCCCGGCUAACUUCGUGCCAGCAGCCGCGGUAAUACGAAGGUGGCUAGCGUUGUUCGGAUUUACUGGGCGUAAAGCGCACGUAGGCGGAAUAUUAAGUCAGGGGUGAAAUCCCGGGGCUCAACCCCGGAACUGCCUUUGAUACUGGUAGUCUUGAGUGCGAGAGAGGAGAGUGGAAGUCCGAGUGUAGAGGUUGAAUGCGUAGAUAUUCGGGGGAACACCAGUGGCGAAGGCGGCUCACUGGCUCGAUACUGAAGCUGAGGUGCGAAAGCGUGGGGAGCAAACAGG
rnacentral:rRNA from 1 species